rnacentral:lncRNA from 1 species
GUUUACUGUUCUCUAAAAAUACUUUCAGUCACUUCCAUUGCGUUGAUUCUGUAUAAGACUUAGAUUCCUCUCCGUAAGGAAAACAGAAGCAUUGCUGAAUUUGUUAUUAGUGUACCAUGCUGUCAAACAAUAUUCCUACAUGUCCAAAUUCCUGCAAUAUGAUUCACAAGUACACUUCAUAUUAUUAACACUAAAAAAAUUAUUUACACACCAGAAUAUAAUUCAGGGAAAAGAAGUUUUUUUAGUAAUGUCUUCUAAAAGGAAUUUUUACUAUAAUUUAUGACAUGGGAAAAUCUAUGAAAUUUACAACUACUGAAAAUGGAAGUCCAUAGCAAUCUUUUUCUAAGUUCUUAGUUUCUAAAAACUCAAAACUAGAAAAAUAUCUCAUUACAACAUUCCAGCCAAGUUUUGGUUUUGAAGGUUGACUAAUGGAAAAAAGAUGUUUUGAAUACUUGGUUUUUCUCUGACUUAUUUUUUCUGCUUGUUAGUUAGAUUCUUUAUUACAUCUGGCUUCAAGAUUAUUUAUCACAGAUGUCACUGUACAUGAUUUUGGAGGUUUUGUCAUCUCAAUUCCACAUGUAGCAAAAUUAACAUUCUCUUUUUAUCUUAAGCUUUGAAGAUUUCUCAAAACAAACUUUUUCUUGAAGGACUCUUGUUCUAAAUGGAAUCAAACAACAAAAACUUAAAUGCAGCUCUUAAAGAAUAAUUGGUAAAUGUCAUGAAACGAACCCAUUGAUUUAAAAACUAUACAAUGAUCAAAAGUGUGCAACUGAGAAAACUUUCUGCUGCUAAUAGCAAUGUUUUUGGGUUCAAAAAGAGAGACUGUAAGAAAAUAAUGGUUUUAUUCAAUACCAAGUUUAUGUAGCUUUAGGAAAGGAUAUAGGACAGGCAAUUGCACAGAAUGCUUACAAAGGCGUGGCUGUGGUCCUGCAACUCCCAGGAAGUUUUCCACAUCCCAGUCACUCAGCACUUAGAGGAUCCUAGAAGAGGCUGAGUGUGUGCCGUCUUGUCUCAGAAAGCCUUCAGUCUUGAUUCCCACCUAGUCAUUGCUGUCCCCUCUGGAGUUGCUUCAUCAAUACUGGGUUUUUUUGGGGGGUUUUUUUUCUUUUUGGUCUUUUCGUCUUUUCUAGGGCCGCACUCGCAGCAUAUGGAGGUUCCCAAGCUAGGGGUCAAAUCAGAGCUGUAGCUGCCGGCCUACUCCACAGCCACAGCAAUGCAGGAUCUGAGCCGCGUCGCGUCAGCGACCUACACCACAGCUCACCACAAUGCCGGAUCCUUAACCCAGUGAGCAAGGCCAGGGAUCGAACCCACAACCUCAUGGUUCCUAGUCAAAUUGGUUAACCACUGCACCAAGAUGGGAACUCCAACACUGUCAAAGUCUGAUCUAUUUUGGCUCCAGGGUAGGCACACUCUUAAGAGUUCCUUGAGUUAGUAUUUCAAGGAGGAUUUGACCAAGGGUAAAGUCAUCAGGAGUCAUCAAGGCUGGAAAAAAGGCUACCAGACCAGCAUUAACCCUUUCCUUCUAAAAAU